UGAAGUUGCAGAGUCGAGCUCGAGCUCGAGCUCAACAAAAAUGGCCGAGCUCGACUCGUUGCCACCCCUAGCUGAACGCCUGGGAAAGAUCAAAGGUGUGUAAAUAAGUGGAUUACUUUAGUAGUAAUCCAACAUGGCGAGCAAGGUGCGUUCGUGGGUAAGAUUCAAAGCGAGAUCCAACAUGCGGGAAUCUUGAAAAUGUUCUUGGGAUGAUCUUCAAAACAACGAGAAAAUUGACGUGUUUAUGAUCGAAUUAAGGCAUGAGCUUGUAGACGAGUUAGACCCGGAUAUGUCGAUCGACAUACUUCCACCGCUACAGGUUUACUCGAUCCACGAUUAUGUGCCAAUGUAAUUUUAUAUUUAGUGUGCACAUAAAUUAUUAUACUUGCGAUAUAAUUUAUCUUAUGGAUUAAACAUUGUUAUUUUCCAACACAACCGAACUGACUUCUACUCUCUCCUCUAAUAUUUAAAUUAUAUUUUUCUCUAUAUAUAUAGUUUGUUUUAUUUGAUUAUUGCACCGUUGAUCUUCAUUGAUAUUUAUAUUCCCUGAGGAAGAUCUUGACCCACGGACUACCAAGAAUAUACUUGAGGAGAGGUGAGAGAAGCACAAACAUGCGAAAUCGUGACCAUGGGUUAAUAAUAGAGCAACGUUGGCGAGCCUAAACGAGACCCCUAGAAAAACUUGUCAUAUUUAAAAGCUAGCGAGACACUUUUCUAUGUAUGUUUUCUUUUCUAAAUUGUUAGAAUACUAAGGAAAAUUGUGUUCGUCAAAAUGAAGAACUUGAAUUUCUUAGAUUUUUUUCUUUUUCUAUGAGAGAGAGAGAG